rnacentral:lncRNA from 1 species
UUUUUUUAAAGGAGUAGGUUCAGUAAGACCCCUUUUUGGCCCCAAAAUAUAGCAGUUUUACAAAAUUGUUAAAAUGUAAACCUUUAGUUAUUUAUUGGACAGUAGAAUGCUUCUGCUACAUAAAUAUGGGCUGUUUUUGACAAUACAAUGCAUAUAUAUCCGGUACUAGCACCAUUAAGUCAUGCUAAAUUACUGAAAUCCUCAUAAUUCUAGCAUUUUAGUUAAAUUUUAGACGGUUUUCGUGUAAAACGAAAGUGGCCGC